GUCCUUUGUCCCAGCGUCUGACAACCACCCUCCAGUUCUGCAUGAGACAGGCUCUUCCAUUUGGUUCUGCAGCUCUGUCCUGUAUGCACGUAUCCGUGCAUUGCAGACCAUCAGGUUUUUAACUGCUUGCAAAAGCUGGUCUUUCUGUGUGCUCACUGUAAGCAGUUUACGGAUACCUUCCCGUAUGCGGAUUUCAAAGUCCAUCUUUUCUUGGAUGUUGCGCUCCCGCUCCGCGCCCGCCGCCCCGGCAGCGCCCGACCCGCGCCGCUGCAUCCUCCUCGGCG
rnacentral:lncRNA from 1 species